UUUCCGUAGGUGAACCUGCGGAAGGAUCAUUACAGUAGGGGCCCCUCGGGGUCCCUGCCGAGAUAGCACCCCUUGUCUUUUUCGAGCACCGAACGUUUCCUCGGCGGGCCCGCCCGCCAACGGGGACCAAAGCAAACCCUUUAAACCGCAGUAUCAGAAGUAAAACCGUACGCAAUCAAAAAUCAAAACUUUCAACAACGGAUCUCUUGGUUCUGGCAUCGAUGAAGAACGCAGC
rnacentral:misc_RNA from 1 species